rnacentral:lncRNA from 1 species
AUGCUUGUCUUUGCCUGUCCUACCUCUUCCCACCGGGCACACGGCCCCCUUCCUGGUGCACGUGGCACCGGGCACGCACCCACCUGCCCUGGAUGCCCUCGGCUAAGUCAACCUCUGUGCAAAGUAUCUCUUCCUCGCCUCUGGAAAGGCUUUGCUCUAACUUACGUGCUCACGAGCCAAGGGGACCACCUCACCGAAUUUCCUCCCACCCACCUCAACCCUGCACAGCAGCCAGGGAAGACUGGUAGGUAUGGAUUCCAAGCGUUUUCUUUCUUUUCUUUCCCCCCUGAAUACACGACGGGAUGCGUGUUCGAAACAGGCUCUAUUCAGUGCCUUGAUAUUUUCACGUUUUGUAAAGCUGUUCACGGUUCUUUCUGUGAGCCGGGGGACAAGUCUUCGAUGCUGAUCAGAUUUCUUGUCUCUCUUUGUGCACAGAACCCACCAAGAAGCCAAGCUCAGAUAUCUACCCAAAGCCAAAACCCCCGUACCGCCCCCAGCCCGGGAUGUCGGACGACAGUGGAAGUAAGAAUUCUCAGCCUUUGGGUUCCUUUCCAACCUGGUUUCAUGAAACCCACUUUGUCUUUGUUGGGGGGCAGGGGGCUGUCAUCGGGCUGCUUUUGAAAUGAGGAGCAGCUCACUCUGCUGGAGACUGAGUCACGGUCCUAAGCAGAGGGAGCCAGAAGUUUGAGCCGACAUCGCUCACUUUAUUUCCCGUUGCUCUGAGCGCUGGAAGAUACCACGUGCUCGGGGGGUAUUGUACGCUCUUGGGAUGGAUUUUUAAUUAGGCUGAGGACAAGUUCCUUUCCCGCUCGUUUGCAGGGUUCCAAAUCACGUCCCGUUCAAAAAGCCCACUUGUGUGCACUGUGCAUUGCAAGUCAUUUACCCUCUGGGUCUCCUUGGCUUCAAAAACCUGGCAGAUGCUGUUCCCAUAGAUUUCUUUAAAAAAUAAAUGAAUAAAAUAAAAGGAAACGUUGUCAAUAAAGUCCUUAGCAAUCCAACAGUGCCAAAAACCUUAAACCUGCACAGAAUUUAAAUGAAUUGUGAUCCUUGUUUUAUGUCCCUUUGUUGUCUCUGUCCAAGGAGAGCCUUGUUGUAUUUUAGGUGAUUUCAUGUUGAAUUCAAGNNNNNNNNNNNNNNNNNNNNNNNNNNNNNNNNNNNNNNNNNNNNNNNNNNNNNNNNNNNNNNNNNNNNNNNNNNNNNNNNNNNNNNNNNNNNNNNNNNNNUGCCACCAUGUCUUUGACGGCUGACCCUUACUGCAUGGCAGGACAGGUUUCCGGAAACUCCUUUUCCGGGCAUCCCCGCAGCUCUGGGCAGGCGUCCGUGACGGAGCAAUUUUUGCUGAAAGAGAUCAGGUCACUGCCUGAUUUUGCAUUUUGCAGUUUUAUGCAGACGGAUUUUGCCGAUGGAUGCUUAGGGCGUCUUAAGCCCCUGUAUGUGCAUCUUUGGGGCCACGUUUUGGCUCUUGGGGAGGAAGCAUGCAGGCUUCGGGAGUCUGGGAGCAGCGAGCAAGGGGAUGCCUUCUGUGGGUUUUUCCGUUGAGUGCACAUCUCCCAACGGUGAGGUUGGCUGCCUGCGUCUGCACGGCAUUGACGACUGGCCAGCUGAGACGUGAGGGCUGGGGUCUCUGCUAGGACCUAGCUCCCUGUGGGUGCGGGAGGCAGCUGGAGGUGGGCAGCCUGUGGCUUGUGGCCAGGGCAGUAGACAAGAUACACAGCUUUCCUAUCUGGGACGCGAUCAGUGCCCGUGGGUGAUGCUGCUGCUCCCCGACACCCCCUUAGCACCCCGGCACCCCAAUGCAACUCACACCCUGCACCCCUCUGCUCCCCGCCUCUCAAGGCCCCCAGGUCUAUUCUGAUUGCAAACACAAACGUCCCCCCAAGACCCCAGGGGGCAGCUCAGGACCCCUCAGCAGGCUUCAUACAUCAGCAUCCCCAGAAAACGGUCGGGACAUUUGGUGCCUAGGAGAAUGUUAACAAAGGCAAUCACUGAACCCAAAGUGAGCGGUGGGGACCCAAGUGCACAGUAAAUUUCAUUCUAUUUUGAGCAAAAAAGAAUAGAAAAAGAAAAACCCACAAAAACCAGCUCUGGGUGUAAGCAAGUUUAUUCAGAAGAGGGCAGGGAAGUUUUGGAAGGCAUGCAUCACCAUAUUCCAGUUUCCCACACAGGAACGUGCUUGGUGUAUCCGUUUGCUAACACCACCGAGCGGUUAACUCGCUUUGGAUGCUCUUGCCCGAAAAUAGCACUGGAUGACACAGGGUACGGGCUCUGUCCUAGGACACCGUCUCUAGUUGAGACAAGAGUUGCAAAGGCAGGUUGUCCCCUGAGCUUCUGAACCUCUGGCUAUAGAGAUCGGAGGUUCCCAGGACCCUCUCCCUGGGCUCCGGUAAUUUGCUAGAGGGGUGGAUGGACGCGGGGAAAUACGGGGGCCCGUUUUUCGUACAGGAUGUGAUAAAGGAUAUGCACGAGGUGUUGGGGGAACAGGUACGUGGGGUGAGGUCUGGAGGGGUCCCAAGUGCAGGAGCAUGUGUCCCCGGGGAGUGGCGUUACGUCCCCCUCCGGCAUAUGGAUGUGUUCACCAACCUCGAACCGCACUGGACCCCGUCCUUUUGGGUUUCAGGCAGGCUUCAAUCACAUAAACAUGAUUGAUUAAAUCAUGGGUCAUCCCGGGGAUUAACUCAACCUCUGGAGCCUUUACCGUCUCCCGAGUUCGGGGGGCGGGAUUGCAAUUUAUGACCCGCUCAUCACAAUCACGGGGGGCUUGGUUUCCCUGGCAACCAGCGUCCCUCUUUUGGGGCUUCCUUUAGGUCAGCUCAGGUGUGUUUCUCAGCCUUAUGACUUGGGAAAUUCCAAGGGUUUCGGUAGUUUGAGCUUGAGGAAUCCCGAAGUGUUUAUGGGAGCAUAUACUGAGUGCCAAGGCUGGUUCUGGGCAUGGGGGUGCAGCAGUGACCAAGCAGUCGGUGCCCCCCCGCGCACUAUGGAACUAAAGGAUGGGUCAGUGUGGGGGCUGUGGGGUCCCACUCAGGGUGGAGGUGGUGUUAGCACAGGGGCUGAGGCAGGAAGGGAAGGGAAGCUUGCAUUCAGUGCAGAGGACACGUGCAAAGGUCCUGGGGCCUGGGGGUCUGAGAGAUGGUGGAUGACUGUCUUCCUGUGCAUUGUGCACCUCCCAUCAGCUCUCAGAUCAUAAGGGGCCCUUCCAAGUAUGUGCCCUCCCUGGGCUGCCGGGUCCCCCGUGCGCUCUCUCCGCAGGAAGGAUGGUGUCUCACCUGCACGGCAAUGGGAACACCUGUGGUUUGGUCCCGGUGUCCCGGCGUCCUGGAAGGGGUCUACCAUGCUCUCCAUAAGCUACCCAUGGGCUGGGGCUUAUGGAACGCCGUCUCCAUAGGGUCUGAAGGAGGGUCUCUGCUCCACCACUCAGGUUACUACGGCAACACCGACUGGGACUACGGCCGCUACCCGCCCAGACCCAAGCCGCCCGCAG